UGGGGAAUUUUGGACAAUGGGCGAAAGCCUGAUCCAGCAAUGCCGCGUGUGUGAAGAAGGCCUUCGGGUUGUAAAGCACUUUUGUCCGGAAAGAAAUCCUUGGCUCUAAUACAGUCGGGGGAUGACGGUACCGGAAGAAUAAGCACCGGCUAACUACGUGCCAGCAGCCGCGGUAAUACGUAGGGUGCAAGCGUUAAUCGGAAUUACUGGGCGUAAAGCGUGCGCAGGCGGUUUGCUAAGACCGGUGUGAAAUCCCCGGGCUCAACCUGGGAACUGCAUUGGUGACUGGCAGGCUAGAGUAUGGCAGAGGGGGGUAGAAUUCCACGUGUAGCAGUGAAAUGCGUAGAGAUGUGGAGGAAUACCGAUGGCGAAGGCAGCCCCCUGGGCCAAUACUGACGCUCAUGCACGAAAGCGUGGGGAGCAAAACAGGAUUAGAUACCCUGGUAGUCCACGCCCUAAACGAUGUCAACUAGUUGUUGGGGAUUCAUUUCCUUAGUAACGUAGCUAACGCGUGAAGUUGACCGCCUGGGGAGUACGGUCGC
rnacentral:rRNA from 1 species